UGAUGUUGAUAUUGUACCAGAAUCUUACUUAUUUCAUCCUAAUCAUGCGAUGCUUACAAUACAAGAAGUAGUUGGUUCCACAGUUGCAUGGCCUUCUAAAAAAGUUAUUCCAAGAGAUGUGACAAGCGAAGUAGAAAAUGAUACUUAAGACUCCUUGAAAGUAGUAACUUUGUUUAUUUCUUUGUGUUGAAAGUAGUAACUUUUAACUAUGUUGAAUAUUUAAGACUCCUUGAAUACUUAAAGAACAUUUUGUUGUUGA